rnacentral:rRNA from 1 species
UACGGAGGAUGCAAGCGUUAUCCGGAAUGAUUGGGCGUAAAGCGUCCGCAGGUGGCUAUGUAAGUCUGCUGUUAAAGAGUGAGGCUCAACCUCAUAAGAGCAGUGGAAACUACAUGGCUAGAGUGCGUUCGGGGCAGAGGGAAUUCCUGGUGUAGCGGUGAAAUGCGUAGAGAUCAGGAAGAACACCGGUGGCGAAAGCGCGCUACUGGGCCAUUACUGACACUCAUGGACGAAAGCUAGGGGAGCGAAAGGG